rnacentral:rRNA from 1 species
UACGGGGGGGGCAAGCGUUGUUCGGAAUUACUGGGCGUAAGGGCUCGUAGGCGGCCAACUAAGUCAGACGUGAAAUCCCUCGGCUUAACCGGGGAACUGCGUCUGAUACUGGAUGGCUUGAGUUUGGGAGAGGGAUGCGGAAUUCCAGGUGUAGCGGUGAAAUGCGUAGAUAUCUGGAGGAACACCGGUGGCGAAGGCGGCAUCCUGGACCAACACUGACGCUGAGUGAGCGAAAGCCAGGGGAGCAAACGGG